GCCGGCGUGGCGCAAUUGGUUAGCGCGUCAGACUUUUACUACAAAAAGUAGAUCUGAAUGUUGCGAGUUCGAGUCUCGCCGUUGGCG